rnacentral:rRNA from 1 species
CGAGCGAGACCUUCGGGUCUAGCGGCGGACGGGUGAGUAACGCGUGGGAAUGUGCCCUUCUCUACGGAAUAGUCCCGGGAAACUGGGUUUAAUACCGUAUACGCCCUUCGGGGGAAAGAUUUAUCGGAGAAGGAUCAGCCCGCGUCUGAUUAGGUAGUUGGUGGGGUAAUGGCCUACCAAGCCUACGAUCAGUAGCUGGUUUUAGAGGAUGAUCAGCCACACUGGGACUGAGACACGGCCCAGACUCCUACGGGAGGCAGCAGUGGGGAAUCUUAGACAAUGGGCGCAAGCCUGAUCUAGCCAUGCCGCGUGAGUGAUGAAGGCCUUAGGGUCGUAAAACUCUUUCGCCAGGGAUGAUAAUGACAGUACCUGGUAAAGAAGCCCCGGCUAACUCCGUGCCAGCAGCCGCGGUAAUACGGAGGGGGCUAGCGUUGUUCGGAAUUACUGGGCGUAAAGCGCGCGUAGGCGGACUAUUAAGUCAGGGGUGAAAUCCCGGGGCUCAACCCCGGAACUGCCCUUGAUACUGGUAGUCUUGAGUUCGAGAGAGGUGAGUGGAAUUCCGAGUGUAGAGGUGAAAUUCGUAGAUAUUCGGAGGAACACCAGUGGCGAAGGCGGCUCACUGGCUCGAUACUGACGCUGAGGUGCGAAAGUGUGGGGAGCAAACAGGAUUAGAUACCCUGGUAGUCCACACCGUAAACGAUGAAUGCCAGUCGUCGGCAAGCAUGCUUGUCGGUGACACACCUAACGGAUUAAGCAUUCCGCCUGGGGAGUACGGUCGCAAGAUUAAAACUCAAAGGAAA